AGUCACUGUGCUCUGUGUGAGGGACGGUCACUAGUAUUGCUGCUGCUGCUGCUGCUGCUGCUGCUGUUGUUGUUAGAGCGAGGGCACGGUCACGUGACACUGGCAGUAGCGAGGCGGGGAGAAUCACGUGACCAGAGGCAGCCUCCCGUGACGUUGGUACAGAGCGACGCGCGCGCUGGCUGAUGACGUGGUAGCUCGGCGCUGAGCUCGGGAUCGCCGCUCGGAGAGAGACACCGCGGGGACGGAGAGACG